rnacentral:lncRNA from 1 species
UCUAAGAAGUUUUUAGGAAGCUUCCAUAUUAAAUAUUAUAGAAUUAACUUACUUUUACCUACUUUUAUUUACUUCUACCUAUUUCUAUAUGUAAUUAUUAGCUUACAUGAUUAUGGCCGUGACACAUUAUCAUAGAAAGUUUGACUCAAAUAAAGCUAUUUUUGUGAGUCAAAGAAUAUUUUUUAAAUUCGAAUAUAAUACAAUACAAAUAGAAAGAAAAAAAUUACAUAAUAGAGCUUUCAUGUAUGAAGUAGGAUAAGUAAAUCCAUGUUGUCAUUACAGAUAAUGUACAAAAAAAAGUAGUUAAUUUAAUUCAAGAAAUUACUUGUAA